rnacentral:rRNA from 1 species
CCCUUAGACGUUCUGGGCCGCACGCGCGCUACACUGACCAGUGCAACAAGCAUCCGUCCUUGGCCGACAGGCCCGGGCAAUCUUUGAACGCUGGUCGUGAUGGGGAUAGACUUUUGCAAUUUUUGGUCUUCAACGAGGAAUUCCUAGUAAACGCAAGUCAUCAACUUGCAUUGAUUACGUCCCUGCCCUUUGUACACACCGCCCGUCGCACCUACCGAUUGAGUGGUCCGGUGAAGCCUCCGGAUUGGCGCGCACCUCGGUGCCGCCGAGAAGUUGGCUAAACCUUACCAUUUAGAGGAAGGUGAAGUCGUAACA